rnacentral:rRNA from 1 species
AUUGAACGCUGGCGGCAUGCCUUACACAUGCAAGUCGAACGGUAACAGGUCUUCGGAUGCUGACGAGUGGCGAACGGGUGAGUAAUACAUCGGAACGUGCCCGAUCGUGGGGGAUAACGGAGCGAAAGCUUUGCUAAUACCGCAUGCGAUCUACGGAUGAAAGCAGGGGACCGCAAGGCCUUGCGCGGACGGAGCGGCCGAUGGCAGAUUAGGUAGUUGGUGGGAUAAAAGCUUACCAAGCCGACGAUCUGUAGCUGGUCUGAGAGGACGACCAGCCACACUGGGACUGAGACACGGCCCAGACUCCUACGGGAGGCAGCAGUGGGGAAUUUUGGACAAUGGGCGAAAGCCUGAUCCAGCCAUGCCGCGUGCAGGAUGAAGGCCUUCGGGUUGUAAACUGCUUUUGUACGGAACGAAAAGACUCCUUCUAAUAAAGGGGGUCCAUGACGGUACCGUAGAAUAAGCACCGGCUAACUACGUGCCAGCAGCCGCAGUAAUAC